UACGUAGGGUGCAAGCGUUGUCCGGAAUUAUUGGGCGUAAAGAGCUCGUAGGCGGUUCGUCGCGUCGGCUGUGAAAACCCGGAGCUCAACUCCGGGCCUGCAGUCGAUACGGGCGGACUUGAGUGUUGCAGGGGAGACUGGAAUUCCUGGUGUAGCGGUGAAAUGCGCAGAUAUCAGGAAGAACACCCGUGGCUAAGGCGGCUCUCUGGUACGGUACUGACGCUGAGACGCGAAAGCGUGGGGAGCGAACAGG
rnacentral:rRNA from 1 species